rnacentral:rRNA from 1 species
UAAUAUAUCGGAACGUGCCCAGUAGCGGGGGAUAACUACUCGAAAGAGUGGCUAAUACCGCAUACGCCCUACGGGGGAAAGGGGGGGAUCGCAAGACCUCUCACUAUUGGAGCGGCCGAUAUCGGAUUAGCUAGUUGGUGGGGUAAAGGCUCACCAAGGCAACGAUCCGUAGCUGGUUUGAGAGGACGACCAGCCACACUG